rnacentral:rRNA from 1 species
UACGUAGGGCGCAAGCGUUGUCCGGAAUUAUUGGGCGUAAAGAGCUCGUAGGCGGUCUGUCGCGUCUGUUGUGAAAACUCGAGGCUCAACCUCGGGCUUGCAGUGGAUACGGGCAGACUAGAGUGCGGUAGGGGAGACUGGAAUUCCUGGUGUAGCGGUGGAAUGCGCAGAUAUCAGGAGGAACACCGAUGGCGAAGGCAGGUCUCUGGGCCGCAACUGACGCUGAGGAGCGAAAGCAUGGGGAGCGAACAGG